ensembl:lncRNA
CCCUGGGCUGCUUGUCACCUCACCCCAGCCCCACUCCGUAUUCUGACUGCCCAGCCCAAGCAGCAUCCCAGUCUCCCCGGCGGGGAUCCCCCUUGACCACACAGACUUCCUUCCUUCCAAGACCCACCCGCUGACAAUGUACUCUUCCGUCCAGCCUUCAGGCUCAGCCCUCCCUCCGCCGUCUUUUUCUCACCCCAACCGCCUUUUCACUCACACACACACAGACACACACACACAUUCUCACCCCAACCGCCUUUUCACUCACACACACACAGACACACACACACAUUCUCACUCCCUCUCUCUCUCUGUCUCACUGGGUCUCCAGCUCUCUCUCGCUCUCUCUCUCUGUGACUCUAUCUCUCUGUCUCUCUCUCUCGCACAUCCAGCUCUCCCUCUCGCCGUCAAUGCCCCUCUCUCACACGACUCAUAUCCCUCAGCCCUGGCCUCCUUCAGGCUCUUCAGACACAUGCCAGCUCCGCCACCAGCUGCGAUCCCUCCGACCGCAUGGGCAGCCCGCGAGGUGCCCUAACGCCCCAGGCCUCUGCACGACUUCCGUUUGACUGGAUAGCCUCACUCCCAGACCUUGCCAGCCAGUCCUCUGCACCCCCUGGACACCCUGGACUCUUUCUUCCAGCUCCCAGCACACGACAUGCUUCUCUCCUUUCCUUGGUGUCAGCCCCUUGCCCCGGGCUGGGCUGGACGCCAGCCACGGGAACGGACACCUUCGUCCAUCACUGUCACCCGCUGACAUCCACCCACAUCGCCCUGGCAAGCAAGCCAGCCUCCCGUGGGGAUGGCAAACCUCUCCAUCCCCGAUAGGGUCUGGUCUCUCUCUGCAGGUGAUCCGACUGUGCCAAGAUCCCACGAAUGACACGGGACAGCUUUGUGCAGUUGGUUGGACCUCUACUUUGCCCCUAAAGAGAGUAUUGGCAAGAAGUCGACUGACCUCUGCCAUUGACUCGGGGAAUCAGCCAAGCAGUAAGAUCAAUACGGGUUGAAUAGAGGGUUGGAGAACUGGGCUCAUCUGUGCUAAGGAGGGGAUGGGAAGAAAGUUCCACAGCGAAUCUUGGCGUUGGGGAUAGGUACCGUCUCCACAUGUUCCUUGACACUUGGAGAGAAGAUCGAGAGCGUAGGUCAGGCAAUGGGAAGCAAACCUCGGCUACAAGUCUAUCAUGAACCCCAACUCCGCACAUGUGGCUUUGGUCAGCUUGGCUGUUGGGUUUUCCCCACCAGCUCCUGCGUCCUCCACGCUUCAAUGCCCGUGGCCAGGUUGGUCCAAAUAACGGGACCUCUCGAGAUUCAUUUUCACAUCCAGAACAGGCGAGAAUCUCAAACCUGUCAACAGUGAGUGGGAGCACGCGUACACACAUGCGCGUGUAUGUUGCGGGAAGUCAGGGACCCCGAACGGAGGGCCGGCGGGAGCUGGGGCAGAGGAACAUAAAUUGUGAAGAUUUCAUUUCUAUAUGGACAUUUAUGGGUUCCCAAAUAAUACUUUUAUAAUUCCUUACGCCUGUCUUUGCUUUAAUCUCUGAAUCCUGUUAUCUUCGUAAGCUGAGGAUGGACGUCACCUCAGGACCACGGUGAUAAUUGGGUUAACUGUACAAAUUGACUGUAAAACAUGUGUGUUUGAACAAUAUGAAAUCAGUGCACCUUGAGAAAGAAUAGAAUAACAGCGAUUUUUAGGGAACAAGGGAAGACAGCCAUAAGGUCUGACUGACUGCGGGGUCGGGCAAAAAGCGCCGUAGUUUUCUUCUUGCAGAGAGCCCAUAAGCGGACGUGCAAGUAGGGAAGAUACCGCUAAAUUCUUUUCCUAGCAAGGAAUAUUGAGAUUAAUACUCUGGGAAGGGAAUGCAUUCCUGGUGGGAGGUCUAUAAACAGCCGCUCUGGGAACGGCUGUCCUAUGCGGUCGAGAUAAGGCCUGAGACACGCCCUGGUCUCCUGCAGUACCAUCAGGCUUAUCAGGGCGGGGAAAAACUGCGCCCUGCUGCGUUUGUGGUCAGGCCGGUUGUCUGCUCUCGAACCCCGUUUUCUGUUGUUUGAGAUGUUUAUCAAGACAAUACGUGCACCGCUGAACGUAGACCCUUAUCAAUAAAUAAAUCUGCUUUUGCCCUUUGCCCUGUUCCCUCAGAAGCAUGCGAUCUUUGUUCUGCUUUUUGCCCUUCGAAGCAUGUGAUCUUUGUACCUACUCCCCGUUCGUACACCCCCUCCCUUUUGAAAUCCUUAACAAAACUUGCUGGUUUUGAGGCUCGGGUGGGCAUCACGGUCCUACCGAUAUGUGAUGUCACCCCCGGCGGCCCAGCUGUCAAAUUCCUCUCUUUGUACUCUCCCUCUUUAUUUCUCAGCCGGCCGGCACUUACGGAAAAUAGAAGGAACCUACGCCGAAAUAUCGGGGGCGGGUUCCCCGAUAGGUGUAUGAAGAAAAUGCUCACCGUCACCCGUCGUCGGGGAAAUGCAAAUGAAAACCACGAGGAGCUGUCAUCUUACCCCGCUUAGGAUGGCUAUCAUUAAAGCCGGAGGGAAAAUAACCAACCCUGGCGACGAGGUAGACAAAAGGCAAGACUUAGACCCCGUCGGCGGAAAGGCGAAUAAGUACAGCCGCCAUGAAAAACGGCAUGGAGAUAUCUGAAAACAAAAUGCAACAAACUGACAAACAAACAAAACCCCACCCCAACCCUACCCUGCCACCUCCCCCCAACCCCUCGCACACAGAUAAUUCAAGGUAGAGCUACCUUUGGGCCCGGCAAUCCCGCGGAUGGGUGUUUAACCAAAGCACCAGGAAAUCUGAAUUUCCGAGGGAUACCUGCACCCCCAUGUUUACUGCAGCACUGUCACAAUUGCAGAAACGUCGAAUCAACCUAAGUGUCCAUCGGCCGGGAAAUGGAUUAACGAAAACGUGGCAUGUGGACACCAUGGAAUACGAUUUGGCCAUAAAAAGGAAGGAAAUCCUCUCGUCUGCAGCAACAGAGGUGGAACUAAAGGUCACGAUGUAACCUCAAAUGAGCCGGGCACAGAAAGACACGGAGGGCAGGCUCUGAUUCCAAUCGUGGGAAUUGAACAAUCAGAAAGUUCACCUUGUGGAGGUAGAGAGCAGAACGAUAGACACCAGAGGCUGGAGAGGGUGGGUGGGUGACUGGGGUGAAGAGAGGUUGGCGAAAUGGGUACGAGCAUGCGUUUCGAUGGAGGCAAUACGUUCUAAUAAUGUUCCAUGGCAGAGUGGGGCGACUAGGGGUCACAACGAUGUAUUAGCGUGUGUUUCAGAGCUGGAAGACAGCACCUGAGGUGUUCCCAACAGGUAGAGAUGACAGAUACCCACGGGAUGGAUGCCCUACAUCCCCUCAGUUGAUCAUCGAUCGCCACGCAAUCUACACGUGUUACCGCAUGUCACAGGAGUCCCAUCAAUAUCAUGUCCGCAUGAAGAAAAACAUAAUCACGCUACAAGGGCGAUUGUCACAGCUCUGGCUCCCCAGCGCCAUGGCCCGUGGUCUCGGCUCCUCAAGUUCCGCUGCCAUUUCUACCAAAGCCGCUGACACCCGUGGAGCCCAAUCACGGAUCCCGCGCUCCAAGGGUCUGGCAGGCCUUGGAAAAGCCAGUGCGCUUGCUG